UACGUAGGGGGCAAGCGUUGUCCGGAAUUAUUGGGCGUAAAGCGCGCGCAGGCGGUCAUUUAAGUUUGGUGUUUAAUCCCGGAGCUCAACUCCGGGUCGCACUGAAAACUGGGUGACUUGAGUACAGAAGAGGAGAGUGGAAUUCCACGUGUAGCGGUGAAAUGCGUAGAUAUGUGGAGGAACACCAGUGGCGAAGGCGACUCUCUGGGCUGUAACUGACGCUGAGGCGCGAAAGCGUGGGGAGCAAACAGG
rnacentral:rRNA from 1 species